UACGUAGGGUCCGAGCGUUUGUCCGGAAUUACUGGGCGUAAAGAGCUCGUAGGUGGUUUGUCGCGUUGUUCGUGAAAACUCACAGCUUAACUGUGGGCGUGCGGGCGAUACGGGCAGACUGGAGUACUGCAGGGGGAGACUGGAAUUCCUGGUGUAGCGGUGGAAUGCGCAGAUAUCAGGAGGAACACCGGUGGCGAAGGCGGGGUCUCUGGGCAG
rnacentral:rRNA from 1 species